AGACAAAAUGCUAAGAAAAUUCAAAGCAUGUCCAAUUUGAGUAAGUACAAUGUUUAAACAUCAACAUCACAUAGAAUUUACCAUCUCUUUUUGUCUCUCUUAUAGUGCGGUUAACUAUUCAUUAUCAAUAAACAGUUUGCUCCAUGGACAUUAACUUAUUACUUAGGGAAAAGGAUGUGUUGAGAUUAAUAUGCACUAAUGCAUUGUGUCACCAUUUUCUUGAUGCAUCAAGCUUAGAAGAUACUGAGGUCAUCAGUGAGUCUUGCAUUCAAGUUUGUUGUCGUUCAAAAUUAGGACACUGUACAUGAACAUGC